rnacentral:rRNA from 1 species
AGAACGAACGCUGGCGGCAGGCCUCAAACAUGCAAGUCUAGGGGGUGCAGCAAUGCAUCACCGGCGGGCGGGUGCGUAACACGUGGGAAUAUACCUUUCGGUACGGAACAACUGCGGGAAACUGCAGCUAAUACCGUAUACGUCCUUGCGGAGAAAGAUUUAUCGCCGAAGGAUUAGCCCGCGUUCGAUUAGCUAGUUGGCGGGGUAAUGGCCCACCAAGGCAACGAUCGAUAGCUGUUCUGAGAGGAAGAUCAGCCACACUGGGACUGAGACACGGCCCAGACUCCUACGGGAGGCAGCAGUUGGGAAUCUUGGACAAUGGGGGAAACCCUGAUCCAGCCAUGCCGCGUGAGUGAUGAAGGCCUUCGGGUUGUAAAGCUCUUUUACCCGGGAAGAUAAUGACGUGUACCGGGAGAAUAAGCUCCGGCUAACUUCGCGCCAGCAGCCGC